rnacentral:tRNA from 1 species
GCGCCUGUAGCUCAGGUGGAUAGAGCAACUGCCUUCUAAGCAGUGGGUCUGAGGUUCGAGUCCUCACAGGCGCACCA